rnacentral:rRNA from 2 species
UACGUAGGGGGCUAGCGUUAUCCGGAAUUACUGGGCGUAAAGGGUGCGUAGGCGGUCUUUCAAGUCAGAAGUGAAAGGCUACGGCUCAACCGUAGUAAGCUUUUGAAACUGUAAGACUUGAGUGCAGGAGAGGAGAGUGGAAUUCCUAGUGUAGCGGUGAAAUGCGUAGAUAUUAGGAGGAACACCAGUUGCGAAGGCGGCUCUCUGGACUGUAACUGACGCUGAGGCACGAAAGCGUGGGGAGCAAACAGG